rnacentral:ncRNA from 2 species
CCGAGUUUACAACUCCCAAACCCAAUGUGAACGUUACCAAACUGUUGCCUCGGCGGGAUCUCUGCCCCGGGUGCGUCGCAGCCCCGGACCAAGGCGCCCGCCGGAGGACCAACCAAAACUCUUAUUGUAUACCCCCUCGCGGGUUUUUUUAUAAUCUGAGCCUUCUCGGCGCCUCUCGUAGGCGUUUCGAAAAUGAAUC